CUGUAAGCUGCCCCCAUCUCGCGCAUCACACCCGCCCCUGCCUCCCGUGGUAGUUGAUCCUGCGUGCCCCACACGAAGGAAGGCCGUUCCUGUGUCACCGGGCGGCUUGGUGCCUUUGCCUCCCGCUUUGUAGGCAAUGCUGCAACUGACUACCUCGCUCUGUUCCCAAGAGCGCCGUCGCCGGCUGUUCCGCGUGCUGACUACCAUGCUGAAUCGCCGGAGGGCGUACCGGCAGGGCUAGUGGGUUGGUGGUCAGGUCAGAGCAGUGAUGGCCUUCGGUGACGAGAACGUACCGGACCAGGCACGGAAUACGGCGCGGCGGCCGGCCGACUCCGGCUGGCGGCUGGCGGCCGGUCUCCUGCUGACCGCCGUCCUGGUCACCACGGCACGGUCCGAGCUCUGACAGAACGCGCUCCGACUGUGAUGGACGCCGGCGCGUCAUCAGAGCCCGCCGGCCUCCGACUGUGCUCCCGCUGCUCCGCUGUGCGUCGGCUCCACUGUGCGUCGGCUCCACUGUGCGUCGGCUCCACUGUGCGUCGGCUCCACUGUGCGUCGGCUCCGCUGUGCGUUGGCUCCACUGUGCGUCGGCUCCGCUCUAGGAAUGCCCGACCAUGUUCUCACGACGCCGUGCGAUGCCGAGCGAUGCUGAGUGACCGUCCGACCGAGGACCGCAGCGCGGCGCGGAAGGGGACGGAUUGCCGCUGACCCAGGUCACCCCAGCUGUGUCGAGUGGUGCCGCGCGGUCCGCCUCACUCCGUACCGCGCUGCGGUGCGCUCUCGCCUGCGGCAGUACGCUUUGUGUGCCGGCGAGGACAGCUAUGCAUUUUGCAGCCAUACGUACGGGCAUGGAUGGACUGGCUCCAGCGCGGUGGUGCUUUGGACCGUUUGGUACGGUCUGAGAUUGUUUCGAUGCGAUGGAUGACGUUGUGUGUAAAAAUGUCUAUCGGCAUCGGUUAGAGAUUGACUAUCAAUCGUAUUCAGAUCUUCAGAUGCAGAUCUCUUUGAAAACUGAGAAGAUUUGAAACGUCACUCACAUGGGUCGGCUAUGGUUAUCCAUUGUUGUCCGGAGCUUUAUAAGAGCAUAAGUGGUGCACAAUGUAUGAAUACGCUGUCAGAGGGACCAUUAUUCGUUUGUUUUUACGAAGAGCUGCUGGAGUAAUGCAGUUCAGAAGAAUGGCUGUCGAGGGCGACAUUUCGUGAAGCGCGCGUCGGUUUGAUCUAAAUAAGUCAUCACCUUCAUCGCAUUCUGUCAUCUUCCUCAUUCAUCAUCAUCAUCAAUAUACCGUCAACGUUGGCGGUCGUGCUUUUUGUGUAGCAUUGAAGGAGGCCGAUCUGGACGAUACGACGCAUGUAAUUAUUUUGUUAAUCUUCUUUGAAGUUACAGCUAGAGCAAUUAUCCAUCUAGGUUGAACAAACCAUUUUCGGAAUUCCUGCUUUUCAAUUGCGUUUCCUUAGAAAUGAAAAGAAAGGUAUGGAUUUUGGCCUCUUCUGUUUUGAUUGAUAACACUUUUUUUGGAGUUCAUUAGACAUCGCUCUCCUUUCCAAGUGAUAUUUCCUUGCCCUUGUUUAUUUGCAUUCAAGCGAGAGACCAAAUAAACGUUGCAUUAUGAACUGAA
rnacentral:lncRNA from 1 species